AUUGAACGCUGGCGGCAUGCCUUACACAUGCAAGUCGAACGGCAGCGGACCUUCGGGUGCCGGCGAGUGGCGAACGGGUGAGUAAUAUAUCGGAACGUACCUUUCAGUGGGGGAUAACGUAGCGAAAGUUACGCUAAUACCGCAUAUUCUGUGAGCAGGAAAGCAGGGGAUCGCAAGACCUUGCGCUGAUUGAGCGGCCGAUAUCAGAUUAGCUAGUUGGUGAGGUAAAGGCUCACCAAGGCGACGAUCUGUAGCGGGUCUGAGAGGAUGAUCCGCCACACUGGAACUGAGACACGGUCCAGACUCCUACGGGAGGCAGCAGUGGGGAAUUUUGGACAAUGGGCGCAAGCCUGAUCCAGCCAUGCCGCGUGAGUGAAGAAGGCCUUCGGGUUGUCAAAGACUCUUUCGGUCCGGGAA
rnacentral:rRNA from 1 species